AUUGAACGCUGGCGGCAUGCUUUACACAUGCAAGUCGAACGGCAGCGCGGGGCAACCUGGCGGCGAGUGGCGAACGGGUGAGUAAUAUAUCGGAACGUACCCAGAAGUGGGGGAUAACGUAGCGAAAGUUACGCUAAUACCGCAUACGAUCUACGGAUGAAAGUGGGGGACCUUCGGGCCUCAUGCUUUUGGAGCGGCCGAUAUCUGAUUAGCUAGUUGGUAGGGUAAAGGCCACCAAGGCGACGAUCAGUAGCUGGUCUGAGAGGACGACCAGCCACACUGGGACUGAGACACGGCCCAGACUCCUACGGGAGGCAGCAGUGGGGAAUUUUGGACAAUGGGCGCAAGCCUGAUCCAGCAAUGCCGCGUGAGUGAAGAAGGCC
rnacentral:rRNA from 1 species